rnacentral:rRNA from 1 species
UACAGAGGUCCCAAGCGUUGUUCGGAUUCACUGGGCGUAAAGGGUGCGUAGGCGGUCGGGUAAGUCUGAUGUGAAAUCUCCAAGCCUAACUUGGAAACUGCAUUGGAUACUAUCCGGCUAGAGGAAUGGAGGGAGACUGGAAUACUUGGUGUAGCAGUGAAAUGCGUAGAUAUCAAGUGGAACACCAGUGGCGAAGGCGAGUCUCUGGACGUUUCCUGACGCUGAGGCACGAAAGCCAGGGAGCAAACGGG